UACGUAGGGGGCAAGCGUUGUCCGGAUUUAUUGGGCGUAAAGAGCGUGUAGGCGGCUUGGCAAGUCCGUUGUGAAAACUCGAGGCUCAACCUCGAGACGUCGAUGGAAACUACCUCGCUAGAGUCCGGAAGAGGAGAGUGGAAUUCCUGGUGUAGCGGUGAAAUGCGCAGAUAUCAGGAAGAACACCCGUGGCUAAGGCGGCUCUCUAGUACGGUACUGACGCUGAGACGCGAAAGCGUGGGGAGCGAACAGG
rnacentral:rRNA from 1 species